AUUGAACGCUGGCGGCAGGCCUAACACAUGCAAGUCGAGCGGAUGAAGGGGGCUUGCUCCUGGAUUCAGCGGCGGACGGGUGAGUAAUGCCUAGGAAUCUGCCCGGUAGUUGGGGAUAACGUCCGGACACGGGCGCUAAUACCGCAUACGACCUGAGGGAGAAAGGGGGGGAUCUUCGGACCUCACGCUAUUAGAUGAGCCUAGGUCGGAUUAGCUAGUUGGUGGGGUAAAGGCCUACCAAGGCGACGAUCCGUAACUGGUCUGAGAGGAUGAUCAGUCACACUGGAACUGAGACACGGUCCAGACUCCUACGGGAGGCAGCAGUGGGGAAUAUCGGGCAAUGGGCGAAAGCCUGAUCCAGCCAUGCCGCGUGAGUGAAGAAGGUCUUCGGAUUUUAAAGCACUUUAAGUUGGGAGGAAGGGCAGUAAGUUAAUACCUUGCUGUUUUGACGUUACCAACAGAGUAAGCACCGGCUAACUACGUG
rnacentral:rRNA from 1 species